GGAUACUUCUAUUCGUCGGUUCAGCGACGAUAAGCCGAGAAGUGCCAAUAAAACUGUUAAGUGGUUUGGUAACGCUCGGUAAGGUAGCCAAAAGGCUGAAACUCCGUGCACAAAGACCGCACGGACGCUUCACAUAUAGCUCAUAAACAAAUGUCGUCGACCUCUAAUAGCGAAAGUUUGCGAGCUAGCUUGUGGAGUGUGAACGGAAAUUAGGUGCGCUUGGC
rnacentral:misc_RNA from 1 species